UACGUAGGGGGGCGAGCGUUGUCCGAAGUUACUGGGCGUAAAGCGCGCGUAGGCGGGUUGGCAAGUCUGCUGUGAAAGCCCGGAGCUUAACUCCGGAGGGUCGGUGGAUACUGCCAGUCUUGAAGGUGCUAGGGAGAGAUGGAAUUACAGGUGUAGCGGUGAAAUGCGUAGAUAUCUGUAGGAACACCAGUGGCGAAGGCGGUCUCUUGGGGCAUUCUUGACGCUGAGGCGCGAAAGCUGGGGGGAGCGAACGGG
rnacentral:rRNA from 1 species